AGAACGAACGCUGGCGGCGUGCCUAACACAUGCAAGUCGAACGAGAAAUCCCGGGCAACUGGGAGAGUAAAGUGGCGCACGGGUGAGUAACGCGUGGGUAACCUACCCUUGAAUUGGGGAUAACUCUUCGAAAGGGGAGUUAAUACCGAAUAAUAUUCCAGUUCCCACGGGAGUUGGAAUCAAAGGUGGCCUCUGCAUGCAAGCUAUCGUUUAAGGAUGGGCCCGCGUGCCAUUAGCUAGUUGGUAGGGUAAUGGCCUACCAAGGCUGCGAUGGUUAGCUGGUCUAAGAGGAUGGCCAGCCACACUGGAACUGAGACACGGUCCAGACUCCUACGGGAGGCAGCAGUGGGGAAUCUUGCGCAAUGGGGGAAACCCUGACGCAGCAACGCCGCGUGGGUGAUGAAGGCCUUCGGGUCGUAAAGCCCUGUCAGGUGGGAAGAAACUUGCGGAUGCUAAUAUCAUCCGCACUUGACGGUACCACCGGAGGAAGCACCGGCUAACUCCGUGCCAGCCGCGGC
rnacentral:rRNA from 1 species